rnacentral:rRNA from 1 species
AGUGAACGCUGGCGGUAGGCCUAACACAUGCAAGUCGAACGGCAGCACAGUAAGAGCUUGCUCUUACGGGUGGCGAGUGGCGGACGGGUGAGGAAUACAUCGGAAUCUACUUUUUCGUGGGGGAUAACGUAGAGAAACUUACGCUAAUACCGCAUACGACCUACGGGUGAAAGCAGGGGAUCUUCGGACCUUGCGCGAUUGAAUGAGCCGAUGUCGGAUUAGCUAGUUGGCGGGGUAAAGGCCCACCAAGGCGACGAUCCGUAGCUGGUCUGAGAGGAUGAUCAGCCACACUGGAACUGAGACACGGUCCAGACUCCUACGGGAGGCAGCAGUGGGGAAUAUUGGGCAAUGGGCGCAAGCCUGAUCCAGCCAUACCGCGUGGGUGAAGAAGGCCUUCGGGUUGUAAAGCCCUUUUGUUGGGAAAGAAAAGCAGCAGGUUAAUACCCCGCUGUUCUGACGGUACCCAAAGAAUAAGCACCGGCUAACUUCGUG